rnacentral:tRNA from 1 species
GAAAUGUAGUUCAGGGGUAGGGCACUUGCUUAGCAUGCACAAGUCCUAGGUUCAAUCCCCAGCAUCA